UACGUAGGGGGCUAGCGUUGUCCGGAAUCAUUGGGCGUAAAGCGCGUGUAGGCGGUUCGGUAAGUCCGCUGUGAAAGUCGGGGGCUCAACCCUCGGAUGCCGGUGGAUACUGUCGAGCUUGAGUACGGAAGAGGGUCGUGGAAUUCCCAGUGUAGAGGUGAAAUUCGUAGAUAUUGGGAAGAACACCGGUGGCGAAGGCGGCGACCUGGUCCGAUACUGACGCUGAGGCGCGAAAGCGUGGGGAGCAAACAGG
rnacentral:rRNA from 1 species